rnacentral:rRNA from 1 species
CCUACGGGAGGCAGCAGUGGGGGAUAUUGCACAAUGGGGGAAACCCUGAUGCAGCGACGCCGCGUGGGUGAAGAAGUAUUUCGGUAUGUAAAGCACUAUCAGCAGGGAAGAAGAAAUGACGGUACCUGAGUAAGAAGCACCGGCUAAAUACGUGCCAGCAGCCGCGGUAAUACGUAUGGUGCAAGCGGUAUCCGGAUUUACUGGGUGGAAAGGGAGCGCAGGCGGCACGGCAAGCCUGAUGUGAAAGCCCGCGGCCCAACCGCGGGACUGCAUUGGGAACUACCGGGCUGGAGUGCCGGAGAGGUAGGCGGAAUUCCUAGUGUAGCGGUGAAAUGCGUAGAUAUUAGGAGGAACACCAGUGGCGAAGGCGGCCUACUGGACGGUGACUGACGCUGAGGCUCGAAAGCGUGGGGAGCAAACAGGAUUAGAUACCCCAGUAGUC